UCGGUGGGAGGCGCUGUAUUUAAUUGUUGGAGUCAAUGAUCUUGAGGUCCAACCGUGACAACAUCUACAUACCUGCAGCAGCCGUCCUACUGACUUGUACAUUAAUAGCCGACAAAUUGAACUGUGUCAUCUUGGAAGAGUGUGUCAACAGAAUUCUAUCCAACCGCCAGUCGGUGACAUUGCCAGAAUUAAAACUGCAUUGGGCCACUCGCAGGAACCUCCUUAUUUAUGGACCAUCGGUGGGAGGCGCUGUAUUUAAUUGUUGGAGUCAAUGAUCUUGAGGUCCAACCGUGACAACAUCUACAUACCUGCAGCAGCCGUCCUACUGACUUGUACAUUAA